rnacentral:rRNA from 1 species
CUCCUACGGGAGGCAGCAGUGGGGAAUAUUGCACAAUGGGCGAAAGCCUGAUGCAGCAACGCCGCGUGAAGGAAGACGGUUUUCGGAUUGUAAACUUCUAUCAAUAGGGAAGAAAGAAAUGACGGUACCUAAAUAAGAAGCCCCGGCUAACUACGUGCCAGCAGCCGCGGUAAUACGGAGGGUGCAAGCGUUGUCCGGAAUCAUUGGGCGUAAAGAGUUCGUAGGCGGCAUGUAAAGUCAGGUGUUAAAGGCGCAGGCUCAACCUGUGUAUGGCACUUGAUACUUGCAAGCUGGAAUGCGGUAGG